CGGCAAUAGCUCAAAUUUGAAAUCUAGUACCUUUGGUGCUCGAGUUGUAAUUUGUAGAGGAUAUUUCGGUAUUUAUGCUAAUUUAAGUCCUUUGGAACAGGGCAUCAUAGAGGGUGAGGAUCCCGUAUGUAAUUAGUUAUAUUUGCCAUGUGAAAUUCCUUCGAC
rnacentral:rRNA from 1 species